rnacentral:snRNA from 1 species
UAUUUUAGACUAGGUGUCUUGCUGAAUUUGGAACAAUCUAAAGAAAAUUAGCAUGGAUCCUGUGCAAGGAUAACCCCAAAAUUCAUGAAGUGUUCCAUAUUUUG